GACGAACGCUGGCGGUGUGCUUAACACAUGCAAGUCGAACGGUAAGGCCCUUUCGGGGGUACACGAGUGGCGAACGGGUGAGUAACACGUGAGUAACCUGCUCUCAUCUCUGGGAUAACAGUCGGAAACGGUUGCUAAUACUGGAUAUGAGCUUGCAAGGCAUCUUGUGGGUUGGAAAGAUUUUUUUUGGUUGGGGAUGGACUCGCGGCCUAUCAGCUUGUUGGUGAGGUAGUGGCUCACCAAGGCUUCGACGGGUAGCCGGCCUGAGAGGGCGACCGGCCACAUUGGGACUGAGAUACGGCCCAAACUCCUACGGGAGGCAGCAGUGGGGAAUAUUGCACAAUGGACGGAAGUCUGAUGCAGCAACGCCGCGUGCGGGAUGACGGCCUUCGGGUUGUAAACCGCUUUCAAUUGUGACGAAGCUUUUUUGUGACGGUAGCAGUAGAAGAAGCACCGGCUAACUACGUG
rnacentral:rRNA from 1 species